GGCUUCGCUGAAGCCUGAAGCUCUCCAGGCAGCACGGAAGGAAGAAGGAAGGAAGGAGACAGGCAAAGAGGCCAGCGCUGGCUGCCCUUACCCAGCACAGUUCUCUGCAGACCCUCUGCCCAGCCCAGCCCAGCCAGCCCAGCCUUUGCCAGUAAUGGAGAGCUCCAUGAUGAAGCAAAAGGAAAAUGGAAACUGAUAUCAGGACAAUUAAGAGGGAUGAUUCAAGGAGGAAUCAAGAGUCUAGUCAUCACUAAUCUCCCAGCCACAAUCAACAAGAAGCCAAAAAGAAUGAAGGAAAGGCAGGCCCUGCAAACAGUAGAAAAGGCCUUUGUUGAAUAGGAUUUGUCUGAUUCCAUUGACACUUUGUCAGCUUCUCUGUUUCCAUUACAUCAGGAAUGCCUCUCAGCAGCACUGUAACAACCCAGAAAGCACUCAUCACUCAGUUGCUUCUAUAAAAUCUAAAUUUGGAAAAUGGGGCAUUCAUGGUUUAAUAUUUACUACAAGAAUUUGUACAGAAGGCAGCUAAGAACACCAUGGUCUCCCACUGAAGCUCAAUCUGGCACUUUGCAAGGAGUGGAUAAUUUAAAACUGCCACUUAUUCUCUCACUUUUCCUCUGCAAACUCACUGUAAUGGAGGCCGCUCCAAUCCAUUCUCCAGGCAGCUGGCCUUUUACCACCUUUUAAGUUCUGUGUGGGCAUGAUUUGCCAGAUAAGAUCCCUGCUGUUGCAUGAUUAAGCAACAUAGUGCAUUAGCACUGUGAGAUUUUUUAAACUUUUUUUUUAACAUCCCAAGAUUAAAAAGAACACACAUCAUAUUAGUAGGGUUGAUUUUCCUCCAAAUGUCCAGGUCUCUCUGCAUUUCUUUUCCUGCUAAUUUGCACGUUUCAGAUGUGUGGCAUGUAGCUCUAACCUCCUGAAUAUCCAUAUGUGCAU